CCCCUCUCAGGGUCACACCUGGAGAGUUUCCAGUACUUUACCAGUCACGACUAAAGGAGGGAGAGUCAAGCAGAGGCCUAACCAUUCCGUUCCUAGUUUGGGCAAUGGCUAGCAGGUGGAAGACAAUCUGCUACAAGU
rnacentral:snoRNA from 1 species